rnacentral:rRNA from 1 species
AUGAACGCUAGCGACAGGCCUAACACAUGCAAGUCGAGGGGCAGCACAAGGAGCAAUCUGAGGUGGCGACCGGCGCACGGGUGAGUAACACGUAUGCAACCUGCCUGUAAGCGGGGAAUAACCCGUUGAAAGGCGGACUAAUACCGCAUAAUACUAAAUUACUGCAUGGUAAUUUAUUUAAACAUUUAUGGCUUACAGAUGGGCAUGCGCAUGAUUAGCUAGUUGGAGAGGUAACGGCUCCCCAAGGCAACGAUCAUUAGGGGUUCUGAGAGGAAGGUCCCCCACACUGGUACUGAGACACGGACCAGACUCCUACGGGAGGCAGCAGUGAGGAAUAUUGGUCAAUGGACGAGAGUCUGAACCAGCCAAGUCGCGUGCAGGAAGAAUGCCCCUAUGGAUUGUAAACUGCUUUUGCAGGGGAAUAAAGUGCAUCACGUGUGAUGUUUUGUAUGUACUCUGCGAAUAAGGAUCGGCUAACUCCGUGCCAGCAGCGGC